AGAUGUUCUGCACAUAUUUGUCAAUUUCUGUGGUCUGACUCAGAGCACAGGAAGUGUGGGUACUUCUGCUGGUGUCAAUCAUUGGGACUGGAUUAUGUCUAAGCAUCUUCAACCUCACAGGGAGGAGCUUGACCGGAGAAAGAGGCUGAGAACUGCUUCUCUUACCAAGGACCUUCCCCAAGCCAGGCAUCUCCGGAGAUGGUAUGGAGCCUGGGGUAGCUCG
rnacentral:lncRNA from 1 species